rfam:Oceanobacter sp. HI0075 HI0075_c88, whole genome shotgun sequence.
GCCAGAGUGGCGAAAUUGGUAGACGCAGGGGAUUCAAAAUCCCCCGCCUUCGGGUGUGCCGGUUCGAGUCCGGCCUCUGGUA